UAGAGCAGGUCCUGCGUUGUAGGUUGAUGAAGCGUUUCCUAAUGAUUGACCUUUUAGUUAAAGUUCCUUGGAACAGGACAUCAGAGAGGGUGAUAAUCCCGUGAUUAGCUAGAUGACAUACCAGUCUUUCAUGAUACGGAGCGUUUUCUUAGAGUCGGAAUGUUUGGGAUUGCAUUCCAAAGUGGGUGGUAAACUCCAUCUAAGGCUAAAUACUGGCGAGAGACCGAUAGCGAACAAGUACCGUGAGGGAAAGUUGAAAAGAACUCUGGAGAGAGAGUCAAACAGUACGUGAAAUUGCUAGCAGGGAAACGUUGGAUACCAGUACACGGCGAUUAAUGUUAAUGAUCAGUUGAUGUUUGGUUUGAUUAGAGUGUAGUGUUUUUUUAUAGCUUUGGAGAUCAUAUUUCGUGUGACUCAUGCAUUCUAAUACAAUCAAGUGUCGGUGCACUCUUUAGCAGCCGGGUCAACAUCAGUUAAGGACGUUUGACAUGUUUUAGAGGCAAGGUAGCAUUGGGUGAGUUUCGGCUUGCUCGAUGAACUUAUAGGUCUUUUUAUACUAGAAUGUCUUUGACUGAGGAUAAUCGAUUCGUGCGUGCAAGCGCAGGGCGUUUUUAAUAAAGUCAAGGUUGCCCGUGGUGAUAAUCAGCAUGCUGAUUGUUAUUCAUUCUAUUAACCUCUAGUUAAUAGUGGCGAUCGUUUUGUUAUUAC
rnacentral:rRNA from 1 species